rnacentral:rRNA from 1 species
UCAAGCGAAUAAGUGCAUGUGGUGGAUGCCUUGGCGAUUACAGGCGAUGAAGGACGUAGCAGUCUGCGAAAAGCCACGGGGAGCUGACAAGCAAGCUUUGAUCCGUGGAUAUCCGAAUGGGGAAACCCACCCGCAAGGGUACUCCCUCCUGAAUACAUAGGGAGGGUAGAGCGAACGCAGCGAACUGAAACAUCUAAGUAGCUGCAGGAAAAGAAAUCAACCGAGAUUCCGCAAGUAGUGGCGAGCGAACGCGGAAGAGCCUUGCAACUUUUAGCACACGAAUUAACAGAACGGUCUGGAAAGUCCGGCGAUAGUGGGUGAUAGCCCCGUAUGUAAAAAUUCGAGUGUGGAACUAGGGUUGCGACAAGUAGGGCGGGGCACGAGAAACCUUGUCUGAAUAUGGGGGGACCAUCCUCCAAGGCUAAAUACUCGUAAUCGACCGAUAGUGAACUAGUACCGUGAGGGAAAGGCGAAAAGAACCCCGGGAGGGGAGUGAAAUAGAUCCUGAAACCGCAUGCAUACAAACAGUGGGAGCCCCUGCUUCAAGCAUCUUUGAGAUUCUUUCGAGGAGCAUCGCGCAGCGAUGCGACUCAAAAGUUUCAAGAAGAAGUGAAAUAGAUGAGCCUUAAUGGCAUAUGUAUUUCGAGGCGGGAGGGUGACUGCCGUAUCACGGCGCGUAGCGAAAGCGAAGCGUAGUGAGGCGGUAGACAACCCUGCGAAAACGCCCGAAGGGUGUUUGAAGCAGGGGUGACUGCGUACCUUUUGUAUAAUGGGUCAGCGACUUACAUUCAGUAGCGAGCUUAACCGAAUAGGGGAGGCGUAGGGAAACCGAGUCUGAUAAGGGCGUCAAGUUGCUGGGUGUAGACCCGAAACCAAGUGAUCUAUCCAUGGCCAGGAUGAAGGUGAGGUAACACUCACUGGAGGUCCGAACCCACUAACGUUGAAAAGUUAGGGGAUGAGCUGUGGAUAGGGGUGAAAGGCCAAACAAACUUGGAAAUAGCUGGUUCUCUCCGAAAACUAUUGAGGUAGUGCCUCGUAAUAUACCCUCGGGGGUAAAGCACUGUUAUGGCUAGGGGCCUAUUGCUGGUUACCAACCCAUGGCAAACUAAGAAUACCGAGGAGUAAUUUUACGGGAGACAGACAUCGGGUGCUAACGUCCGGUGUCAAGAGGGAAACAACCCAGACCGCCGUCUAAGGUCCCAAAGCAUAGUUAAGUGGAAAACGAAGUGGGAAGGCACAGACAGCCAGGAGGUUGGCUUAGAAGCAGCCAUCCUUUAAAGAAAGCGUAAUAGCUCACUGGUCGAGUCGUCCUGCGCGGAAGAUGUAACGGGGCUCAAACUAUGCACCGAAGACGCGGAUCUAGACAUUCUCAUGGAUGUUUAGGUGGUAGGAGAGCGUUCUGUAAGCCUGCGAAGGUGUCUUGAGAAGGAUGCUGGAGGUAUCAGAAGUGCGAAUGCUGACAUGAGUAGCGAUAAAGGGAGUGAAAAGCUCCCUCGCCGAAAGCCCAAGGUUUCCUGCGCAACGUUCAUCGGCGCAGGGUGAGUCGGCCCCUAAGGUGAGGCAGAAAUGCGUAGCUGAUGGGAAAUAGGUUAAUAUUCCUAUACCUUUAUACAAUGCGAUGGGGGGACGGAGAAGGUUAGCUCGGCCGGGUGUUGGAUGUCCCGGUUUAAGCGUGUAGGCUGGUUCUUUAGGCAAAUCCGGAGAGCUAAGGUCGAGACGUGAUGACGAGUGCACUUAGUGCGCGAAGUGAGUGAUACCAUGCUUCCAAGAAAAGCCUCUAAGCUUCAGUUGUAUAGAGACCGUACCGCAAACCGACACAGGUGGGCAGGAUGAGAAUUCUAAGGCGCUUGAGAGAACUCGGGUGAAGGAACUCGGCAAAUUAGCACCGUAACUUCGGGAGAAGGUGCGCCCCUGGUAUGUGUAGUCCCUUGCGGAUGAAGCAGAUAGGGGUUGCAGUGAAUUGGUGGCUGCGACUGUUUAAUAAAAACACAGCACUCUGCAAACACGAAAGUGGACGUAUAGGGUGUGACUCCUGCCCGGUGCCGGAAGGUUAAUUGAUGGGGUGCAAGCUCUUGAUCGAAGCCCCGGUAAACGGCGGCCGUAACUAUAACGGUCCUAAGGUAGCGAAAUUCCUUGUCGGGUAAGUUCCGACCCGCACGAAUGGAGUAACGAUGGCCACACUGUCUCCACCCGAGACUCAGCGAAGUUGAAGUGUUUGUGAAGAUGCAAUCUACCCGCUGCUAGACGGAAAGACCCCGUGCACCUUUACUGUAGCUUUACAUUGGACUUUGAAUACAUCUGUGUAGGAUAGGUGGGAGGCUUUGAAGUCGGGACGCUAGUUCCGAUGGAGCCGACGUUGAAAUACCACCCUGAUGUGUUUGAGGUUCUAACCUAGGUCCAUUAUCUGGAUCGGGGACCGUGUAUGGUAGGCAGUUUGACUGGGGCGGUCUCCUCCCAAAGAGUAACGGAGGAGUACGAAGGUAACCUAGGUACGGUCGGAAAUCGUGCUGAUAGUGCAAUGGCAUAAGGUUGCUUAACUGCGAGACGGACAGGUCGAGCAGGUGCGAAAGCAGGUCAUAGUGAUCCGGUGGUUCUGUAUGGAAGGGCCAUCGCUCAACGGAUAAAAGGUACGCCGGGGAUAACAGGCUGAUUCCCCCCAAGAGUUCAUAUCGACGGGGGAGUUUGGCACCUCGAUGUCGGCUCAUCACAUCCUGGGGCUGUAGCCGGUCCCAAGGGUAUGGCUGUUCGCCAUUUAAAGUGGUACGUGAGCUGGGUUUAAAACGUCGUGAGACAGUUUGGUCCCUAUCUGCAGUGGGCGUUGGAAGUUUGAGGGGGGCUGCUCCUAGUACGAGAGGACCGGAGUGGACGAACCUCUGGUGUACCGGUUAUGACGCCAGUCGUAUCGCCGGGUAGCUAUGUUCGGAAGAGAUAACCGCUGAAAGCAUCUAAGCGGGAAACUUGCCUCAAGAUGAGACUUCCCAGGGACUUGAUCCCUCUAAAGGUUCGUUGAAGACCACAACGUUGAUAGGUCAGGUGUGGAAGCGCAGUAAUGCGUUAAGCUAACUGAUACUAAUUGACCGUGAGGCUUGAUCCU